UGGCGGCAGGCCUAACACAUGCAAGUCGAGCGGUAACAUUUCUAGCUUGCUAGAAGAUGACGAGCGGCGGACGGGUGAGUAACGCGUAGAAAUCUACCUAGUAGUGGGGGAUAGCCCAGAGGAAUUUGGAUUAAUACCGCAUACGCCCUACGGGGGAAAGCGGGGGAUCUUCGGACCUCGUGCUAUUAGAUGAGUCUGCGUCGGAUUAGCUUGUUGGUGAGGUAAUGGCUCACCAAGGCGACGAUCCGUAGCUGGUCUGAGAGGAUGACCAGCCACACUGGAACUGAGACACGGUCCAGACUCCUACGGGAGGCAGCAGUGGGGAAUAUUGCACAAUGGGCGCAAGCCUGAUGCAGCCAUGCCGCGUGUGUGAAGAAGGCCUUAGGGUUGUAAAGCACUUUCAGCAGUGAGGAAAGGGGUGUCGUUAAUAGCGCCAUCCUGUGACGUUAACUGCAGAAGAAGGACCGGCUAACUCCGUG
rnacentral:rRNA from 1 species